AUGAACGCUGGCGGCGUGCUUAACACAUGCAAGUCGAACGAUUAAACUGGCUUCGGCCAGAUAUAGAGUGGCGAACGGGUGAGUAACACGUGACCAACCUGCCCCGCGCUCCGGGACAACCGCUGGAAACGGCGGCUAAUACCGGAUGCUCCGGGGAGGCCCCAUGGCCUCCCCGGGAAAGCCUUAACGGCGCGGGAUGGGGUCGCGGCCCAUUAGGUAGACGGCGGGGUAACGGCCCACCGUGCCCGCGAUGGGUAGCCGGACUGAGAGGUCGACCGGCCACAUUGGGACUGAGAUACGGCCCAGACUCCUGCGGGAGGCAGCAGUGGGGAAUUUUGCGCAAUGGGGGCAACCCUGACGCAGCAACGCCGCGUGCGGGACGAAGGCCUUCGGGUUGUAAACCGCUUUCAGCAGGGAAGACUUUGACGGUACCUGCAGAAGAAGCUCCGGCUAACUACGUGCCAGCAGCCGCGGUAAUACGUAGGGGGCGAGCGUUAUCCGGAUUCAUUGGGCGUAAAGCGCGCGUAGGCGGCCGCCUAAGCGGAACCUCUAAUCCCGGGGCUCAACCUCGGGCCGGGUUCCGGACUGGGCGGCUCGAGUGCGGUAGAGGCAGGCGGAAUUCCCGGUGUAGCGGUGGAAUGCGCAGAUAUCGGGAAGAACACCGAUGGCGAAGGCAGCCUGCUGGGCCGCCACUGACGCUGAGGCGCGAAAGCUGGGGGAGCGAACAGGAUUAGAUACCCUGGUAGUCCCAGCCGUAAACGAUGGGCGCUAGGUGUGGGGGGACAGUCCCCCCGUGCCGCAGCCAACGCAUUAAGCGCCCCGCCUGGGGAGUACGGCCGCAAGGCUAAAACUCAAAGGAAUUGACGGGGGCCCGCACAAGCAGCGGAGCAUGUGGUUUAAUUCGAAGCAACGCGAAGAACCUUACCAGGUCUUGACAUCCUUCUGACCGCUCCGUAAUGGGAGCUUUCCUUCGGGACAGAAGAGACAGGUGGUGCAUGGUUGUCGUCAGCUCGUGUCGUGAGAUGUUGGGUUAAGUCCCGCAACGAGCGCAACCCCCGUCCCGUGUUGCCAGCAUUGAGUUGGGGACUCGCGGGAGACUGCCGGCGUCAAGCCGGAGGAAGGUGGGGACGACGUCAAGUCAUCAUGCCCCUUAUGCCCUGGGCUGCACACGUGCUACAAUGGCCGGUACAGAGGGUUGCCACCCCGCGAGGGGGAGCGGAUCCCGGAAAGCCGGUCCCAGUUCGGAUCGCAGGCUGCAACCCGCCUGCGUGAAGUCGGAGUUGCUAGUAAUCGCGGAUCAGCAUGCCGCGGUGAAUACGUUCCCGGGCCUUGUACACACCGCCCGUCACACCACCCGAGUCGUCUGCACCCGAAGCCGCCGGCCGAACCCUUCUGGGGCGGAGGCGUCGAAGGUGUGGAGGGUAAGGGGGGUG
rnacentral:rRNA from 1 species